UUCUAUCCUACAUUCUAAUGUGGAUGAAAAUAUAAACUUAUGUUUGUUAUUUGUGCAAAUGAUGUUGUCUUGCCAUAAAUGAUUUGUUUUAUGCCUAUCUGUUUGGUUGGAACGUAAGAAUCGAAUUCGGGUCCGAGUGAGGGUGGUGUCCCUACUCGGAUUAGUGUACACAGGUGACCGUGGAAGGUGGCCACCUUCCACGGCACAAAGAUGAUAUAGUGGAGGCCGUUGGGAGGUGGCCACCUCCUCGGCUGAAGAAAGAUGUAGGUGACCGUGGGAGAGCACCAUCUCCACGGCACUUGGUGUUCAGAUAUGGCAAAAGAAAGAAAGAACUUAGACUGAUCAGUCGAACUUUAGCUCACAAAGAAUUUAGUUGAGCAGUGACGGUGGAGAAUGCUGAGCAGAGUUAUGAUUUCCCUUUUAUUUUAAGUAGAGGCUCUCGGCGGUGUAUUUCUCCAUACAUGUGACCGUAUUCAUUCCGCUGCGUACUAAGAUUUUAGUUAACCUCGAUUGUUCUUUUGUACUCUAAUAAUUAUUUAUUGAAUAGUAAGAUUUUCAUUCAAGUUUUGGUGAUUAAGAGUUUGUUUG